rfam:Equus caballus chromosome 2, whole genome shotgun sequence.
ACCAUCGAGGAGCUGCGGGACAAGAUUCUUGGGGCCACCAUUGAGAACUCCAAGAUUGUUCUGCAGAUCGACAAU